rnacentral:rRNA from 1 species
GUGUCAGCAGCCGCGGUAAUACGUAGGGCGCAAGCGUUGUCCGGAAUUAUUGGGCGUAAAGAGCUUGUAGGCGGCCAGAUAAGUCCGCUGUGAAAUCUCGAGGCUCAACUUCGAGCUGUCGGUGGAAACUAUCUGGCUAGAGUCCGGAAGAGGAGAAUGGAAUUCCUGGUGUAGCGGUGGAAUGCGCAGAUAUCAGGAGGAACACCAAUGGCGAAGGCAGUUCUCUGGUACGUGAUUGACGCUGAGACGCGAAAGCGUGGGGAGCAAACAGGAUUAGAUACCCCUGUAGUCC